CAGGUCUGUGAUGCCCUUAGAUGUUCUGGGCCGCACGCGCGUUACACUGACACAGGCAGCAAGUAUUUUCCUUGGCCGGAAGGCCUGGGUAAUCUUAUGAAACUGUGUCGUGUUGGGGAUUGUCCUUUGUAAUUAUCGGACAUGAACGAGGAAUGCCUAGUAAGUACGAGUCAUCAGCUCGUGUUGAUUACGUCCCUGCCCUUUGUACACACCGCCCGU
rnacentral:rRNA from 1 species